UACGAAGGGGGCUAGCGUUGUUCGGAAUUACUGGGCGUAAAGCGCACGUAGGCGGAUCGGCAAGUUGGGGGUGAAAUCCCGGGGCUCAACCCCGGAACUGCCUUUGAUACUGCUGGUCUGGAGGAUGAGAGAGGAGAGUGGAAUUCCGAGUGUAGAGGUGAAGUGCGUAGAUAUUCGGAGGAACACCGGUGGCGAAGGCGGCUCGCUGG
rnacentral:rRNA from 1 species